rnacentral:lncRNA from 1 species
GAAAAAGGAAUUACUGCAGGUAAUGAAAAUCAAGCUCAAGAAAUUUAGGACACAAGCAAAUCUCAAGAGUCGACUGACAUAUCUACUGCGACAAAGUCAACUGGUGAAAACAACAGUAAUGUACUAGAUCAACCAACCGAGUCGACUACCAAUGUAGCGCGUCCAACCGAAUGGAGAAACGAGCUUGAAUAUCCUCAAAAGUUCA